GAGUAACACGUGGGUGAUCUGCCCUGCACUUCGGGAUAAGCUUGGGAAACUGGGUCUAAUACUGGAUAUGACCUUUCUCCUUAUGGGGUUUGGUGGAAAGUUUUCGGUGUAGGAUGAGCCCGCGGCCUAUCAGCUUGUUGGUGGGGUGAUGGCCUACCAAGGCGACGACGGGUAGCCGGCCUGAGAGGGUGAUCGGCCACAUUGGGACUGAGAUACGGCCCAG
rnacentral:rRNA from 1 species